rnacentral:rRNA from 1 species
AUUGAGCGCUGGCGGCAGGCCUAACACAUGCAAGUCGAGCGGAUGAAGGGAGCUUGCUCCUGGAUUCAGCGGCGGACGGGUGAGUAAUGCCUAUGAAUCUGCCUAGUAGUGGGGGAUAACGUCCGGAAACGGGCGCUAAUACCGCAUACGUCCUGCGGGAGAAAGUGGGGGAUCUUCGGACCUCACGCUAUCAGAUGAGCCUAGGUCGGAUUAGCUAGUUGGUGGGGUAAAGGCCUACCAAGGCGACGAUCCGUAACUGGUCUGAGAGGAUGAUCAGUCACAUUGGAACUGGAACACGGUCCAGACUCCUACGGGAGGCAGCAGUGGGGAAUAUUGGACAAUGGGCGAAAGCCUGAUCCAGCCAUGCCGCGUGUGUGAAGAAGGUCUUCGGAUUGUAAAGCACUUUAAGUUGGGAGGAAGGGCAGUAAGUUAAUACCUUGCUGUUUUGACGGUACCAACAGAAUAAGCACCGGCUAACUUCGUG